GAUGAACGCUGGCGGCAUGCCUAAGACAUGCAAGUCGUACGAGGCGGCCCACUGAUUCAGAUUGAGAUCCUGCGUGCUUGCACAAAGGAAGGAUUUCUGAUGAUGUGGAUUCUCCGCCUAGUGGCAAACGGGUGAGUAACACGUGGGUUACCUGCCUCAUAGACCGGGAUACCGUUUGGAAACGAACGUUAAUACCGGAUGUUAUCUACGGAUUAAAGGGAGCCUUUAAAGCUCCGCUAUGAGAUGGGCCUGCGGUGCAUUAGAUAGUUGGUGGGGUAAUGGCCUACCAAGUCGACGAUGCAUAGCUGAACUGAGAGGUUGAUCGGCCACACUGGGACUGAUACACGGCCCAGACUCCUACGGGAGACAGCAGUUAGGAAUAUUCGUCAAUGGGGGAAACCCUGAACGAGCAAUGCCGCGUGAAUGAUGAAGGCCCUAUGGGGUUGUAAAAUUCUGUUGUUUGGGAAGAACUACAGAAAUAGGAAAUGAUUUCUGUUUGACGGUACCAUUCAAGAAAGCUCCGGCUAACUACGUGCCAGCAGCCGCGGUAAUACGUAGGGAGCGAGCGUUAUCCGGAUUUAUUGGGCGUAAAGCGUCCGCAGCCGGUUUAUUAAGUGUGAAAUUAAAGCCCGGGGCUUAACUCCGGUUCGUUUCACAAACUGAUAGGCUGGAGUGUAGUAGAGGCAAGUGGAAUUUCUAGUGUAGCGGUGGAAUGCGUAGAUAUUAGAAGGAACACCAGUGGCGAAGGCGACUUGCUGGGCUAUUACUGACGGUCAGGGACGAAAGCGUGGGGAGCAAAUA
rnacentral:rRNA from 1 species